rnacentral:rRNA from 1 species
CAGCGGAAGCUCAGUAACACGUGGCCAAACUACCCUGUGGAUGGGAACAAUCUCGGGAAACUGAGGCUAAUUCCCAAUAACGCUCCAGCCCUGGAACGGGCGGAGCUGGAAACGCUACGGCGCCACAGGAUGUGGCUGCGGUCGAUUAGGUAGACGGUGGGGUAACGGCCCACCGUGCCAAUAAUCGGUACGGGUUGUGAGAGCAAGAGCCCGGAGACGGAAUCUGAGACAAGAUUCCGGGCCCUACGGGGCGCAGCAGGCGCGAAACCUUUACACUGUACGCAAGUGCGAUAAGGGGACUCCGAGUGUGAAGGCAUAGAGCCUUCACUUUUGUACACCGUAAGGUGGUGUACGAAUAAGGGCUGGGCAAGACCGGUGCCAGCCGCCGCGGUAAUACCGGCAGCCCGAGUGAUGGCCGAUAUUAUUGGGCCUAAAGCGUCCGUAGCUGGCCGGACAAGUCCGUUGGGAAAUCUGUUCGCUUAACGAGCAGGCGUCCAGCGGAAACUGUUCGGCUUGGGACCGGAAGACCUGAGGGGUACGUCCGGGGUAGGAGUGAAAUCCUGUAAUCCUGGACGGACCACCGGUGGCGAAAGCGCCUCAGGAGGACGGAUCCGACAGUGAGGGACGAAAGCUAGGGUCUCGAACCGGAUUAGAUACCCGGGUAGUCCUAGCUGUAAACGAUGCCCGCUAGGUGGUGGCGCAGGCUACGAGCCUGCGCUGUGCCGUAGGGAAGCCGAGAAGCGGGCCGCCUGGGAAGUACGUCUGCAAGGAUGAAACUUAAAGGAAUUGGCGGGGGAGCACUACAACCGGAGGAGCCUGCGGUUUAAUUGGACUCAACGCCGGACAUCUCACCAGCUCCGACAGUAGUAAUGACCGGUCAGGUUGAUGA